AAAAGUUAUCUGGAACCAUUUGGUAAGUUACAUACAUUUUUCCAGUUGCAAAUUUUGCGCAUAAUCUUCACGGUAAUUGGGUACAAUAAUACAGCACUCGAAGGUUGAUUGGUAUUGUUCAUUUCAAUAGUGGUUUAGUUAGUAUAACAAAUUAUAGUAUUCAAACUUUAUUAAAAAACAUUUCAGCCUGCAGCUCAAUUUUAAACUAACCAGAAAAAAAAAAUUCUGAACUAGGGACUUGAAGAAGCCCAGAGUAACAUUGGGUUUAAAAUCUAACAUCUAUAGGAGUAACAUCUCUAAAAUCUAUCGGAGUAACAUUGGCAAUCUUAUGGGAAGCGGCCGUUGUAGCAGCAAAAUCUAGUGUACUGUUUUAAUCUUGUUUGCCAAAACAUGUGUCAGGGAGAAUUAAAACAACUGCGUGAUUAAAGAAGUCCACAGAGUUUGAAAAAGGGAUGGAUUUAAAGGUGCAAUUCACGCUGGUUCAAUCAUAAAGAAAACGUUUUGGAAGAUGCAGAAGAAAUACAUAAAUCUGCUUUGAGUGUUAAAAUUUCGUUCAAAGCACAAUCAAAUCAAAAUUUAUUUUAAAAAGAAUUUGAUUUGCUUUUUGACAUAUCCAAAUCAGACUUCAAGCAGAAGAUAAGCCAGAAUAGGGAUUAUGAAAGAGUUCAAGAAGACUUAACCUUCAUAUAGGAUCAGAGAGAUGAUGAUGAUUUUAGGGAAAGAGAAACACUAUUUGAAAAAAAUUGACACGAAGCUUGCAAAAUUUGAUCAGAUAGAAAGGCAGAAGGAAAAAGAGAAGAAAAGACAAAGUUCAAAAAAUAUUUUUUAUUUCUUACAGAAGAGGCUUAGGUUUCUAAAAAUAAAGAUAUUAGUCAGAGUAUUUAGGUUUCUGAACAUGAUUCAGAUAUCUCAGAGUUUAAUUAUGUUUUUUGUAAACAGAAUAAGUUAAAAAGAUUCUCUAAGAGUUUAUAACUGAAAAAUUUAUUGAAGCAACAUCUGUUUGUUUUACAAGAUACAAUAUAAGUUUUAGAGACCAUUUCAAUAUGCUAACAAGUAUAUUUAAUGGUGCUUAUGUUAAUAUUAAAAAUGCUGCUCUAAGAUGCAACUUGGAGGCAUUUAAAGACUCUUAUGAUCUCAAGAAAUUGUUUUGCUCUAGGAAGUGUAAAGAUCUUAGAAAUGCCCUAAUAAAAAGCUUAAAAUGUCAUAAAUGUUAUUUAGAUG